AUUGAACGCUGGCGGCAGGCCUAACACAUGCAAGUCGAACGAGUGGCGGACGGGUGAGUAAUGUCUGGGAAACUGCCUGAUGGCGGGGGAUAACUACUGGAAACGGUGGCUAAUACCGCAUUCUAUGGGAUGUGCCCCGAGGGGAGUCACUAGUAGGUGGGGUAAAGGCUCACCUACGCGACGAUCCCUAGCUGGUCUGCGAGGAGGACCAGCCACACUGGAACUGAGACACGGUCCAGACUCCUACGGGAGGCAGCAGUGGGGAAUAUUGCACAAUGGGCGCAAGCCUGAUGCAGCCAUGCCGCGUGUAUGAAGAAGGCCUUCGGGUUGUAAAGUACUUUCAGCGGGGAGGCGUUACCCGCAGAAGAAGCACCGGCUAACUCCGUGCCAGCAGCCGCGGUAAUUC
rnacentral:rRNA from 1 species